UACAGAGGGGGCAAGCGUUGUUCGGAAUUACUGGGCGUAAAGGGCGCGUAGGCGGCUACUUAAGUCGGAUGUGAAAGCCCUUGGCUCAACUGAGGAAGUGCACCCGAAACUGAGUGGCUUGAGUACUAAAGAGGGUCGCGGAAUUCCCGGUGUAGAGGUGAAAUUCGUAGAUAUCGGGAGGAACACCGGUGGCGAAGGCGGCGACCUGGGUAGAUACUGACGCUGAGGCGCGAAAGCGUGGGGAGCAAACAGG
rnacentral:rRNA from 1 species